GUGGCUUGUAUCGACCCGAGCCGUGCCGAAGCUAACGCGUUAAGUUUCCCGCCUGGGGAGUACGCACGCAAGUAUGAAACUCAAAGGAAUUGACGGGGGCCCGCACAAGCGGUGGAGUAUGUGGUUUAAUUCGAUGCAACGCGAAGAACCUUACCAAGGCUUGACAUGUCGCGAACCCCGGUGAAAGCUGGGGGUGCCUUCGGGAGCGCGAACACAGGUGGUGCAUGGCUGUCGUCAGCUCGUAUCGUGAGAUGUUGGGUUAAGUCCCGCAACGAGCGCAACCCUCGUCCUUAGUUGCCAGCAUUGAGUUGGGCACUCUAGGGAGACUGCCGGUGACAAACCGGAGGAAGGUGGGGAUGACGUCAAGUCAUCGUGCUCCUUACGCCUUGGGCGACACACGUACUACAAUGGUCGGGACAAAGGGCAGCGACCCCGCGAGGGUGAGCGAAUCUCAUCAAACCCGACCUCAGUUCAGAUUGCAGGCUGCAACUCGCCUGCAUGAAGGAGGAAUCGCUAGUAAUCGCAGGUCAGAAUACUGCGGUGAAUCCGUUCCCGGGCCUUGUACACACCGCCCGUCACACCAUGGAAGCUGGCCACACCCGAAGUCGUUACC
rnacentral:rRNA from 1 species